AGCGAACGCUGGCGGCAGGCCUAACACAUGCAAGUCGAGCGGCCAUCCUCGGAUGUCAGCGGCAGACGGGUGAGUAACACGUGGGAACGUACCCUUCGGUUCGGAACAACUCUGGGAAACUGGAGCUAAUACCGGAUACGCCCCUAUGGGGAAAGGUUUACUGCCGAAGGAUCGGCCCGCGUCUGAUUAGCUAGUUGGUGGGGUAACGGCCUACCAAGGCGACGAUCAGUAGCUGGUCUGAGAGGAUGAUCAGCCACACUGGGACUGAGACACGGCCCAGACUCCUACGGGAGGCAGCAGUGGGGAAUAUUGGACAAUGGGCGCAAGCCUGAUCCAGCCAUGCCGCGUGAGUGAUGAAGGCCUUAGGGUUGUAAAGCUCUUUUGUCCGGGACGAUAAUGACGGUACCGGAAGAAUAAGCCCCGGCUAACUUCGUG
rnacentral:rRNA from 1 species